rnacentral:tRNA from 1 species
GGUGAGAUGGCUUAGUGGUUAAGAGCAUUGGUUGCUCCUUCAGAGGAUCUGGGUUCAGCUCCCAGCAUCCCCA